ensembl:lncRNA
AUGAUGCACAAAUCAAUGAAUGUGUUAACAUUCUGUUUUUUAUUUGGCAGAAGUUAUAGUAUGGGUUGCCAUGGAUAUAACAAGAUGGGCCAGAGAGAAGAGGAUUGGAAAUUUGGAGACUGUGAGAGCAUACUUCUUGGGGUCACAUGGCGAUCUGGAGCAACCUUGAGAAGACAUCACCAUUUUUCCUUCUAGAAAAUAUAUAGUGGAUUUCAGUCUGAAUAAAUGAUACAACCAAAAAGAACUAGCUGAUUGAUCAUAAGAAAAACCUCAAAUCCAAGGGGCAGCUUGAGCAGUGGAAUGAAGUUUGGCUGAUGGCAGAAAUGGAUGUUCAUCUGAAGGAGACAAAGGCUGAGGCACACGAGGGAUGCUUGGAAAUGGGAGGUAAACAUAGUGGCUGUACCAUAGAGAGUUGAGACAAGAAGAAGUCUGGGCUCUGCUUAGUCAUGGAAAGGCUCCUACAAUCAGAGGAGGCCCAAGUCCAAGGAACACACUGAAGAAAGUGUGGGCAGAGGCGCAAAUGACAGAUUGGAGUCUGUCUCAUGAUGCCCUAGCCUAGAGCCUUUGCAGUAUGGCUUCCAGAACCACAACAGACCAACACUUUCCACAGAGAUGGGGAGGAAGUUGCUAGAACAAACACUAUCCUGAAACUUGCCCCAAAUCUGAACCUAAUCAAACCCCAAUGUUUUCUUGAGGUUAGAAAAAGCCUGGCUUAGCAUUUUUAAAACAAUAUCUAUUUGCCUUUUGUCUCCCAUUUGCAGCCAGAAGUGGAAGUUCUAAAAACCCAUUAAAAACUUUGGGUUUUAUUUUGUAUUUAUUUCCUUACUAUAUACAUUGCCUAGCCAAAACCAGAAAAUGCUGGAAUGGCACAAGUUCAUUCUCCUGAGAUAUCUAGAUCAAAGUCGUUUGGAACUGCCUUGGCUAAGCAACUGAAUUUUUCCAUUCUUAUCCAAACCAAUGCUUUAAGCCCUCACAAUUUACUCAUAUGCAUCCACCUUCUCAAGUGUUCUGAGGCAUUUCUUUCAGCACACAUGUUGGCCUUCAAAGGGUAACAAGCAGUUGUGUGCUGGCGAAAGCUAAAUUUCAAGUUUAUACCUCCCUACUAUCAUCCAACAAAGAGAACAAGAACUUCUGGCAACUUUGUCCACUCUCUAAAUUCUAUACAGAGCGAAAAUAUAGGAAAGGCAAUGUCAAAGACCCUCUUGCAUAGAGAUUUGUUGUGUUCGCAGUGCAUUUUACACUGUCAAAUUAUCCUUCCUCUUGUGUUUAGAAAUCACUUUGACCAAGUAAAAUUUUAAGGCAAUUCAUGUCAUUCAAUCAGCAAGUUUACCAGAAAACUGGUGUCAUUUUUUUCUUGAGGUCUUAGAGUAGUAUUUCUUGGGUGUCAUCUAAAUCUGCCCUAUCUGAAAAGUAGCAUUUUUUUGGGGUAACCAACAAUUUACAUUUAUUGCUCCAUUGGUCACCUUAAUUCUAAGUGACUUUGAUCUAUAGAUGCAUUAUCUUUCAGGAAAUUAUUGAAAGUAUAAAGUGCUUAAUCUUGUCUUCAUUAAAAAAUUUUCAGUUUAUCUAUGAUAGAUUUUUGCUAUGAAAAUUCUUGAUGUUUUUCCCAAUGUGCUACAAGAGCAAACUAGAGUUUGUCUUACCAGAAAG